GACGAACGCUGGCGGCGUGCCUAACACAUGCAAGUCGAACGAAGCCUUUUCUGGAACCCUUCGGGGGGAAGGACGAGUGACUGAGUGGCGGACGGGUGAGUAACGCGUGAGCAACCUGCCCUUCAGAGCGGAAUAGCGUCUGGAAACGGACGGUAAUACCGCAUGAUAUACCGAAACCGCAUGGUAUUGGUAUCAAAGAUUAAUCGCUGAAGGAUGGGCUCGCGUUGGAUUAGAUAGUUGGUGGGGUAACGGCCCACCAAGUCAACGAUCCAUAGCCGGACUGAGAGGUUGAACGGCCACAUUGGGACUGAGACACGGCCCAGACUCCUACGGGAGGCAGCAGUGGGGGAUAUUGCACAAUGGGCGCAAGCCUGAUGCAGCAACGCCGCGUGAAGGAAGACGGUUUUCGGAUUGUAAACUUCUGUUCUUGGUGAAGAAAAUUGACGGUAGCCAAGGAGCAAGCCACGGCUAACUACGUGCCAGCCGCCGCCGUAACAC
rnacentral:rRNA from 1 species